rnacentral:snRNA from 1 species
AGCCACGCAGUGAGCACACAGCGAACUAUUCUUUCGCCUUUUACUAAAGAAUACCGUGUGCGCUCUGUAUUCAGUGGCAUAUACCAAUUUUACUGAGGGAUAUCAUCUUAAGCAU